rnacentral:rRNA from 1 species
GUGCCAGCAGCCGCGGUAAUACGUAGGGGGCAAGCGUUGUCCGGAAUCACUGGGCGUAAAGCGUGCGUAGGCGGUCGCGUGUGUCUGGGGUGAAAGUCCAGGGCUCAACUCUGGGAUUGCCUUGGAAACUGCGUGACUUGAGUGCUGGAGAGGCAAGGGGAAUUCCGCGUGUAGCGGUGAAAUGCGUAGAUAUGCGGAGGAAUACCAGUGGCGAAGGCGCCUUGCUGGACAGUGACUGACGCUGAGGCACGAAAGCGUGGGGAGCAAACAGGAUUAGAUACCCUGGUAGUCCACGCCGUAAACGAUGAGUGCUAGGUGUUGGGGGGUACCACCCUCAGUGCCGAAGGAAACCCAAUAAGCACUCCGCCUGGGGAGUACGGUCGCAAGACUGAAACUCAAAGGAAUUGACGGGGGCCCGCACAAGCAGUGGAGCAUGUGGUUUAAUUCGAAGCAACGCGAAGAACCUUACCAGGGCUUGACAUCCCCCUGACCGCCACAGAGAUGUGGCUUCCCUUCGGGGCAGGGGAGACAGGUGGUGCAUGGUUGUCGUCAGCUCGUGUCGUGAGAUGUUGGGUUAAGUCCCGCAACGAGCGCAACCCUUGACCUGUGUUACCAGCGCGUGAUGGCGGGGACUCACAGGUGACUGCCGGCGUAAGUCGGAGGAAGGCGGGGAUGACGUCAAAUCAUCAUGCCCUUUAUGUCCUGGGCUACACACGUGCUACAAUGGGCGGAACAACGGGAAGCGAGACCGCGAGGUGGAGCGAAACCCUGAAAACCGUUCGUAGUUCGGAUUGCAGGCUGCAACCCGCCUGCAUGAAGCCGGAAUUGCUAGUAAUCGCGGAUCAGCAUGCCGCGGUGAAUCCGUUCCCGGGCCUUGUACACACCGCCCGUCACACCACGAGAGUCGGCAACACCCGAAGUCGGUGGGGUAACCCGUAAGGGGGCCAGCCGCCGAAGGUGGGGUUGAUAAGUGGGGUGAAGUCGUAACAAGGUAACC